rnacentral:rRNA from 1 species
UACGUAGGUGACAAGCGUUGUCCGGAUUUACUGGGCGUAAAGAGCGCGCAGGCGGUCGAUCAAGUCGAGUGUGAAAGCCCCCGGCUCAACUGGGGAGGGUCAUUCGAUACUGAUCGACUCGAAGGCAGGAGAGGGUAGUGGAAUUCCCGGUGUAGUGGUGAAAUGCGCAGAUAUCAGGAGGAACACCGGUGGCGAAGGCGGUUCUCUGGGCAUUACCUGACGCUGAGGAGCGAAAGUGUGGGGAGCGAACAGG